AUGCUUUGCAGCCAAAGAUGGAGAAGCUCUAUACAGUCAACAAAAACAAGACCAGGAGCUGACUGUGGCUCAGAUCAUGAACUCCUUAUUGCCAAAUUCAGACUCAAAUUGAAGAAAGUAGGGAAAACCACUAGACCAUUCAGGAAUGACCUAAAUCAAAUCCCUUAUGAUUAUACAGUGGAAGUGAGAAAUAGAUUUAAGGGUCUAGAUCUGAUAGAUAGAGUGCCUGAUGAACUAUGGAAUGAGGUUCGUGACAUUGUACAGGAGACAGGAAUCAAGACCAUCCCCAUGGAAAAGAAAUGCAAAAAAGCAAAAUGGCUGUCUGGGGAGGCCUUACAAAUAGCUGUGAAAAGAAGAGAGGCGAAAAGCAAAGGAGAAAAGGAAAGAUAUAAGCAUCUGAAUGCAGAGUUCCAAAGAAUAGCAAGAAGAGAUAAGAAAGCCUUCUUCAGCGAUCAAUGCAAAGAAAUAGAGGAAAACAACAGAAUGGGAAAGACUAGAGAUCUCUUCAAGAAAAUUAGAGAUACCAAGGGAACAUUUCAUGCAAAGAUGGGCUCGAUAAAGGACAGAAAUGGUCUGGACCUAACAGAAGCAGAAGAUAUUCAGAAGAGGUGGCAAGAAUACAUGGAAGAACUGUACAAAAAAGAUCUUCACGACCAAGAUAAUCAUGAUGAUGUGAUCACUAAUCUAGAGCCAGACAUCUUGGAAUGUGAAGUCAAGUGGGCCUUAGAAAGCAUCACUAUGAACAAAGCUAGUGGAGGUGAUGGAAUUCCAGUUGAGCUGUUUCAAAUCCUGAAAGAUGAUUCUGUGAAAGUGCUGCACUCAAUAUGCCAGCAAGUUUGGAAAACUCAGCAGUGGCCACAGGACUGGAAAAGGUCAGUUUUCAUUCCAAUCCCAAAGAAAGGCAAUGCAAAAGAAUGCUCAAACUACCACACAAUUGCACUCAUCUCACAUGCUAGUAAAGUAAUGCUCAAAAUUCUCCAAGCCAGACUUCAGCAAUACAUGAACCGUGAACUCCCUGAUGUUCAAGCUGGUUUUAGAAAAGGCAGAGGAACCAGAGAUCAAAUUGCCAACAUCCGCUGGAUCAUGGAAAAAGCAAGAGAGUUCCAGAAAAACAUCUAUUUCUGCUUUAUUGACUAUGCCAAAGCCUUUGACUGUGUGGAUCACAAUAAACUGUGGAAAAUUCUAAAAGAGAUGGGAAUACCAGACCACCUGACCUGCCUCUUGAGAAAUCUGUAUGCAGGUCAGGAAGCAACAGUUAGAACUGGACAUGGAACAACAGACUGGUUCCAAAGAGGAAAAGGAGUACGUCAAGGCUGUAUAUUGUCACCCUGUUUGUUUAACUUAUAUGCAGAGUACAUCAUGAGAAACACUGGACUGGAAGAAACACAAGCUGGAAUCAAGAUUGCCGGGAGAAAUAUCAAUAACCUCAGAUAUGCAGAUGACACCACCCUUAUGGCAGAAAGUGAAGAGGAGCUAAAAAGCCUCUUGAUGAAAGUGAAAGAGGAGAGUGAAAAAGUUGGCUUAAAGCUCAACACUCAGAAAGCAAAGAUCAUGGCAUCUGGUCCCAUCACUUCAUGGGAAAUAGAUGGGGAAACAGUGGAAACAGUGUCAGACUUUAUUUUUGGGGACUCCAAAAUCACUGCAGAUGGUGACUGCAGCCAUGAAAUUAACAGACGCUUACUCCUUGGAAGAAAAGUUAUGACCAACCUAGAUAGCAUAUUCAAAAGCAGAGGCAUUACUUUGCCGACUAAAGUCAGUCUAGUCAAGGCUAUGGUUUUUCCUGUGGUCAUGUAUGGAUGUGAGAGUUGGACUGUGAAGAAAGCUGAGUGCUGA
rnacentral:lncRNA from 1 species